rnacentral:tRNA from 1 species
AAUAAAGUGCCUGAGAUUUGCAAAGGAUUAUCUUGAUAGGAUAAAUCACGUGUUUUUACACCUUUAUUA